rnacentral:rRNA from 1 species
CCCUUAGACGUUCUGGGCCGCACGCGCGCUACACUGACGAAUGCAACGAGCUUAUAACCUUGGCCGAAAGGUCUGGGUAAUCUCCAAAUUUCGUCGUGAUGGGGAUAGAUUAUUGCAAUUAUUAAUCUUCAACGAGGAAUGCCUAGUAAGCGCAAGUCAUCAGCUUGCGUUGAUUACGUCCCUGCCCUUUGUACACACCGCCCGUCGCUCCUACCGAUUGAAUGGUCCGGUGAAGCGUUCGGACCGUGGCCUUUGGACGGUUCGCCGUCUGUUGGCUGCGGGAAGUUCGUUAAACCUUAUCAUUUAGAGGAAGGAGAANUCGUAGCA